AGCCUGAACGCUGGCGGCGUGGCUAAGACAUGCAAGUCGCACGGAUGUAGCAAUACAUUAGUGGCGAACGGGUGAGUAAUGAAUCGCUAACGUACCCUGGACUUUGGGAUAGCUGACCGAAAGGUCAGGUAAUACCAGAUGACAUAACUUUGUCGCAUGACAGAGUUCUCAAAGGUCCGCC
rnacentral:rRNA from 1 species